GCCGUCGUGGCCCAUGGUGGGUCGCCUCUUUCAUAUAACCUUAAUUUCUGGAAGGUCCAUAGAGGAAGUCGGAGGUUCGAUUCCUCCCGACGGCA